GUAAUAAAACUGUCUUGUUCUGAAGCGUGUAAGAUACGAUCCUUCUGGAUUUUACUUAAAAUUAAGAGUAUCGUGUAACACAAUAUAUACACUUUUUGUAAUAUUUAUAUGUCGACAUGUGUGAUAUGUAAUUUCAGAUAAAUGCGCGCGUUUCUUGAAAGCUGUAACACGACUAGAAUUUGCCGGUCACGAAUUAAACCCCCUUGUGAUGCUACCAAAAACUAAAUCCUCCAGUGCUCCUCUGUUUCCGGUCAUCAAAAUUUUGGCAUAAAUGACUGCCAUCUAUUGCUUAUUUAGGUGAAUACUCUAUUUUGUAUAUAAACAAAUAAAAAGAAAAGAGUAUUUGAA